UACGAAGGGUGCUAGCGUUGUUCGGAAUCACUGGGCGUAAAGCGUACGUAGGUGGUUGAGUAAGUCAGCUGUGAAAUCCCCAAGCUUAACUUGGGAAUUGCAUCUGAAACUGCUCAGCUAGAGUAUGGUCGGGGAUAGUGGAAUUUCUAGUGUAGGGGUGAAAUCCGUAGAUAUUAGAAGGAAUACCGGUGGCGAAAGCGACUAUCUAGGCCAUCACUGACACUGAGGUACGAAAGCGUGGGGAGCAAACAGG
rnacentral:rRNA from 1 species